rfam:Bacillus koreensis strain DSM 16467 scaffold5, whole genome shotgun sequence.
AUGCAAAAGAAGGAGCACCCGCUUCUCACCUGAUGGACGCGCUAAGCAGUUAGCAGGUUUUGAGAUCGUUUUUUAUACUUGAACUUUCAAGAUGUGGGUGUGUGGUACAUACUCGCAUCUUUUUUUAUGA